UGGGGCAUAGCUCAGAGGUAGAGCACUUGCCUAGCAUGUGCAAGGCUCUGGGUUUGAUCCCCAGGACCACAA
rnacentral:tRNA from 1 species